AACAGAUCAAAUUUCAUUUUUGAAUAGUUACUUUUAUAAUACUAAUGCAGAUUCAAUAAAGUUUAAAUAUAGUUGAUCAUAAAUCGUGUUUAUGAUUAACAAAUUAAACGUUAAAACUAUUUAAAAUUCAAUUUUUUCCAUUAGUGUAACUUAUUUAUAAAAUUAAAAAAUGUUAAAUUUAUUGUAUUCAUAAUAUUUUUCUUAUAUUGAUAAAUGUUGACAGUGAAAUUUAGUUUUGGCGUUGAAUUUACAAAUGGAUCAAUUCGCAGUUGUUCAACUUCAUAGAAACAAGCAUUUCAUAAAAAGUUGUUGUGCUGUCAUAAAUUCUGAAUGGCCUCGUAGUGAAAGUGCAAGACUUCAUAGCUUAGAAGCAUCAUGCGAUACAUUACCAACAUCACUUAUUUUGACAAAAAAAACCGAAGACAUUGAACAAGCAGUUGUUGUAGGACAUUCUAAAGUGACUCCUAUACCAUCCAUGCCAGAAAGCUGUUUUGUGGAGAGCGAUUUCGUAAAGUAUGGUGUGAACUAUAAUAUCAUUAUAAGAAAUCAUGCUGAUUCGAGGGCUAUGUCAACUAGUGAAAAUGUAGAUGUUGCAGAGACAAUGCAGGCGGACCCCAGUGCAAUUAGUCCUAAACGUUGCAAACAAUGUAACACUGACAAUACGAUUAAAUGUAAAUGGCUAAAGGCAAGACGACUACAAGACAUUUCGCCGUGUGGUCUUAAAACAGGUGGUUCAUUCAAUAGUCAAAUGUAGCCGGGUAUCAAUCGUUUUUGUCGGCAACAAGAGACGAUUUAGUUGAAAAAUUACGCAACUGCCUUAAAGAAAUGAGACCGAUAAAAUUCAAUCUUAAACUCAAGGCGACUUACACGAUUCCAAAUAAUGAAACGUAGUACGGAAAUCGGUCAUUAAAACGUCGGCAGUCGAGUUAAUUAAUGAAGAUGAUAUUGAUCAUGCUGUGGAUAUGUCAUAUGCAAAAUUAUAAGAAGAACACGAAAACUACGUUGGUAAAUGUAGUAUUUGCUCGUUUUCUGACAUAGACGGUAUUUGACUGGGUGUUUACAAAUACCAACCUUCAACGCUCAGAAUGUCAACAAUGCUUUAAAUGGGCUGUUUUAGCAAGAAAAGUGACUGGCGAUAAAUAUAUUUCUGCGGUUCAUUAUUCUUAACAUCAAUUUUAGACAUAAAAAUGUUUGAGAAAAAUUCGCAUCAGUUAAUGUUUUUGGACUAAAAUUGAAAAAUACACAUAAUAAACUCGAAUAUUUAGUUUAUCCCUUGAAAUUGUGUGCUGAAGAACGUAAAGACUAUAUCGAUUUGUUAGUUUUGUCAAACACUUCGUGUGACAUUCAUUACACUUAUAUCAUGAUUUUGGACGAUUGAUAUAAUUACAAAUAUCAAAGAGUACGGAAAAACUUAUGUUUUGUAAAUGGUGUUUGAUGGGUUUUUAUAAUAUACCUAAAAAGUAUAAACGCUUCAAGUGACCACAGGUGCUAGUGGAACAUAAAAAAAAAGUGUCGAAAACAAACUGUCUUUACCUGUAAUGCCUGUAAAGGGGACUAAAUUAAAGUUUGAGUCAUAAGGCAAACACACAGGACGCAUUCAGUUGCAAUUUCUACUGAUUUCGAAAGAUUGUCAUUUCAAGUCCAACAAAGAUAUGAAAGGCAAGUCAAAUGAUCAUGAUGCAAUGAACUAUGAACUUUUAACAUAGUAAAAGCAGUCGAUAGUGUACUCACCGAAUUAUUGCAUCAGUUUAAUAUUAAAACGACGUCUAAAAUACAUAGAGGUAAUAAAAGCAGUGAGUCGGAGGAAGUAGUCAAUCGUUUCAUGGAUAACCUAAUUGAAGUUGCGUUAAAAAUUGAAGAGUUGCUCAUAACGAACAUUAAUAUUUGUAUGAAGAUCAUAUAAAGAAAACCUGCUGUGACUUGUGUAAAGGUAGUUUUACAGAGAAAAAUCAUAAAGUAGCAGACCAUGAUCAUUUGACAGGUUCGCAAUGAGCAAUUCGGAGAUCAAAGUACAGUCUGGUAACAAACAUGUCAGUUUCUAAACGGAUUUCAUGUACGCUCGGUGGUGGCAAAGCAAUUGCCAGUGAUACAGCUCCUAACAAAGGUGGAGCACAC